UACGUAGGGGGCUAGCGUUGUCCGGAAUCAUUGGGCGUAAAGCGCGUGUAGGCGGCCUUGUAAGUCCGUUCUGAAAGUCCGGGGCUCAACCCCGGGAGGCGGGAUGGAUACACUGGCGAAGGCUCGGAGUCCGGAAGAGGCGAGUGGAAUUCCCGGUGUAGCGGUGAAAUGCCGGCAGGAUAUCGGGAGGAACACCAAUGGCGAAGGCAGCUCGCUGGGACGGUACUGA
rnacentral:rRNA from 1 species